rnacentral:rRNA from 1 species
ACCUACGGGGGGCAGCAGUAGGGAAUUUUCGUCAAUGGGCGCAAGCCUGAACGAGCAAUGCCGCGUGAACGAGGAAGGUCUUCGGAUCGUAAAGUUCUGUUGAAGGGGAAAAAGAGCGGAGAGAGGAAAUGGUCUCCGAUUGAUAUUACCCUUCGAGGAAGUCACGGCUAACUACGUGCCAGCAGCCGCGGUAAUACGUAGGUGGCGAGCGUUAUCCGGAAUGAUUGGGCGUAAAGGGUGCGUAGGCGGCCUGCUAAGUCUGGAGUGACAGGUACCGGCUCAACCGGUACAGGCUCUGGAAACUG